CAAGGCCAAGAGCCCAUGCACUUUGUUUCCCCUGUCAUGUGAUUUAUUUUUGGACUAGACACACAGGCUAUUUGGGGGCUGGACAUUUGCCAGGUGAAAGGACAAGUAUGUUGGCCAAGUUGUGUCAAAGCCCUGCUGGGAACUCGCCCUUCCCCCGUAUGAGAUAGAGGGGUGGGGGUCUUGCCCUAAGCAACUUUUGCAGCGCCCCAGCCGCCCUUUGAAACUUCACAGAGCAAGCGUGUAAUGGAAACUGUCUUCAUUUCUGCACAUGAGAGUCUCAAAAUGCAUGCUGUCCAUCACUGCAAACAUCUAAGCAUCUCCAGGCACCUACGACUUUCAACCUCAAGGGCAGCAUCUCCUCCUUAUUGUUAAAGGGAAGGUUCUUCAAGUUCACCUGCAACCAGAGCCAGACGGAGGUGGCACAUGCCUUUAAUCCAAGCACGAGUGAGAUGGAGGCAGGUGGAUCUCUGAGUUUGAGGCCAGCCUGGUCUACAGAGUGAGUUCCAGGACAGUCAGGGAUAUGCAGAGGGACUCUGUCUCAAAACACUAAAAACAAACAAAUACAUAGAUAAAAUCACCUGCACCGAAGUUUGUAAGUUCUUCCUGGGGUCUGCUUUCCUUAUCCCAGCCCCUCUUCUAACCAGCUUACCUCCUUACCCAGGAAGAGCAUCCCCCACCCCGGCCCCGCCCAUCCUCCAUCUUUAACUCAGGAAAGAGCAAGAUAUGCUGUGGUUAUGAAUACUCUACCAGUGACUUGAAGUAACAAAGGCUGGGAAAUCUUGAUUGUCAACUUGAGAUACUUGGAUGGAAACAAGCCUCUAGAUGUGUCUGUGAAGGUGUUUCCAGAGAAAAUUCACCCAGGGCUGGAAAGAUCUUCCCUCUGUGGGUACCACGUCUCCCUGGCAGCCCAGACGUGAAGAGGUGGAAGGGGGCAAUGGUGUCAGCUGCCGCCUUUACUGCUCCACGAGAAAGUGCAUCUAGGGAUGCUGUGCUGGCCUCCAUCAACAGACUCAGCUUCUCCAUCAACAGACUCCAGCUUCUCCAUCAAAAGACUCCAGCUUCUCCAUCAACAGACUCCAGCUUCUCCAUCAACAGACUCCAGCUUCUCUGGCCUUCCAAUGUGAAUUUCACUCUCCAGGAACUGCACCGGCCUUCAGUGUCAGAUUGAGACUGCUAAAUCAUCCAGCUUCAUAGACUAGGCAACUAUCGGGUCUCUGUCUUUCCAGAACUCCAGCACAUAGGUGGCCAUUGUUGGACUACCCAGACAUAUUAUAGAAGCCAAAUCUAAUAAGCUCCCAUUGCAUCACACACACACACACACACACACACACACACACACACACACACACGUACAUGCUCAUGCAUUCCAUUGAUUGUGUCCAUCUAGAUAACUCUGCCUCUGCUUAAUACAAUCACCAGUAUGGACACAUCCGUUUGCAGUUGGCUGUAGGACUGGCUCCGUGCCAUCCUCACUCAAGUACUUGGACUGAAGGAGCUCAAAAGCUAUGCUUUGGGGAAGGAGAGAAAAGAUGCUUACCAAUACGCUGAAAGUUACUUCUCACAUUUCAGUGGCCAAAGAAAGUCAUAUGUGUGACUUUACUGUACAGAAAGUGAGGUAGGACAUUUCAGGGCUGUUGCUUUCUUGUACAGUUGCUAUGCCAUAAAUAUUUAGAGAACAUGAAUUCUGUAAUUGUUGGGUCCACAGAAUAAAGUUUGCUAAGCUUGUUGAAAUUA